CCUACGGGUGGCAGCAGUCGAGAAUCAUUCACAAUGGGGGAAACCCUGAUGGUGCGACGCCGCGUGGGGGAAUGAAGGUCUUCGGAUUGUAAACCCCUGUCAUGUGGGAGCAAAUUAAAAAGAUAGUACCACAAGAGGAAGAGACGGCUAACUCUGUGCCAGCAGCCGCGGUAAUACAGAGGGCUCAAGCGUUGUUCGGAAUCACUGGGCGUAAAGCGUGCGUAGGCUGUUUCGUAAGCCGUGUGUGAAAGGCGCGGGCUCAACCCGCGGACGGCACAUGAUACUGCGAGACUAGAGUAAGGGAGGGGGAACCGGAAUGCUCGGUGUAGCAGUGAAAUGCGUAGAUAUCGAGAAGAACACUCGUGGCGAAGGCGGGUUCCUGGACAUUAACUGACGCUGAGGCACGAAGGCCAGGGGAGCGAAAGGGAUUAGAUACCCUAGUAGUC
rnacentral:rRNA from 1 species